GCGUGGGUGGUUCGGUGGUAGAAUUCUCGCCUGCCACGCGGGAGGCCCGGGUUCGAUUCCCGGCCCAUGCA
rnacentral:tRNA from 2 species